CUUGUUUUCUUUUUUAUUUUCUAGAUUAGCUAAUGACUGUUUUUGGUUGGAAGUCAUCCUUUUGCCUUAGAUUAUGUGUCUUUUAGUGUUUAAGGGAUUCAUGACUCUGUAUGUUCCCCUCGUCUGUUCCCCUUCUUCUUUACAAGGAAGUGUCCUUCUAAUUGAAUUCUCUCUGUACAUAACUUGUUUUGAAAAGAAGGAUUGAUAACUAGUUAGAACACGUGUAAUCAUAAUGCAUCUAGUAUUUCCUGCGAAUUAAGCUCUUAGUAGCUGUUCUUCUUUUCAGAUAAACCCCUUUACUUUUAAAGGAUUUUACUGAAACUCUACAAUGUACACUUCUUCCUUUCACGAUAGAGAAGAUAUUUCCUGUUGUUUGAAAUUGACUUCUACUACUAUGUACACUUCUUAUCUGCAACGCUGCGUCUGUGGAGUGAUGAAUGGACAUGGGAAGAAGCUUCAUAUUCCUAGUACGACGAAGGAGCCUUGGUAAUAUCAUCACAUCACAUGGUCGGUUCUCCAAUGUGUGCUUCUGAUAUAGGUCCAAACUGGUAAUGGAGCUCACAGGAGAACAAAAGGCAUUUGAGCUUCAAAUUAGUGGCUAUCAUCAUCUAAGUAGAUCGUAAUAUAAUUGCCUCAACUGUUAAGAAGUUGUAUUAGCUUUUUAGAUAUGUACAUGGUUGAUAUGGAGAAGUUUGCACUUAAUAGUUUUGCUUUUACGCUUACUCUACUGUACAAAUGGUUGAUAUGGAGAAGUAACACAAUAUGGAUUUUGGGUAGUAA